rnacentral:rRNA from 1 species
GAGUUUGAUCAUGGCUCAGGAUGAACGCUGGCGGCGUGCCUAACACAUGCAAGUCGAGCGAAGCGAUUCGGAUGAAGUUUUCGGAUGGAUUUUGGAUUGACUGAGCGGCGGACGGGUGAGUAACGCGUGGGUAACCUGCCUCAUACAGGGGGAUAACAGUUAGAAAUGACUGCUAAUACCGCAUAAGCGCACAGUACCGCAUGGUACGGUGUGAAAAACUCCGGUGGUAUGAGAUGGACCCGCGUCUGA